CGUUAAUACCAUUCAUGGAAUUUCCCAGCAUAUUGUUUUUAUUUUAUGUUAUACAUUUUUCAAAGCUCUACCGCACUUUUUCUGUAUGUUAUGCAAUAAAAUAGACAAAUUUCCAGAUCAAUAGGUUGUUUUUAAUUUCAACGCAGCGAAAUCGACAAGGUGUUUGCACAAUAGUUUAUGAUAAAGAUAAUGAUAAAAUUAUGAGGGAGGUAAUCUGCAAAAGUAAAACAUAUGUUCAUGUCUGAGUUUGAGCUAAAUAUUCAUAUUUCGAGGAUUUUAAUACGCUGUUGUGUUUAAAAUUUGUUAUAAUGAAUGGCUGUAAAGUUCUCUGUCGUACGACUCAAGGGCAUUGAUGGGUGAUUUAUAUUCUUGUAUAUGAUUGUUUAUCUAAGGAGAGGUCUAAAAGAUUUUCAAUAAAACAUAACACCAUUGAGCUUAAUAUACACAGUAUAACUUUGAUUUCGAUAUGAUUAUCGGAAGUGACUAUCAAAAUUAAAUUAA
rnacentral:lncRNA from 1 species